UACGGAGGGAGCUAGCGUUGUUCGGAAUUACUGGGCGUAAAGCGCACGUAGGCGGCUUUGUAAGUUAGAGGUGAAAGCCCGGGGCUCAACUCCGGAACUGCCUUUAAGACUGCAUCGCUUGAAUCCGGGAGAGGUGAGUGGAAUUCCGAGUGUAGAGGUGAAAUUCGUAGAUAUUCGGAAGAACACCAGUGGCGAAGGCGGCUCACUGGACUGGUAUUGACGCUGAGGCACGAAAGCGUGGGGAGCAAACAGG
rnacentral:rRNA from 1 species